rnacentral:rRNA from 1 species
AGUGAACGCCGGCGGUAGGCCUAACACAUGCAAGUCGAACGGCAGCACAGUAAGAGCUUGCUCUUACGGGUGGCGAGUGGCGGACGGGUGAGGAAUACAUCGGAAUCUACUUUUUCGUGGGGGAUAACGUAGGGAAACUUACGCUAAUACCGCAUACGACCUACGGGUGAAAGAAGGGGAUCUUCGGACCUUGCGCGAUUGAAUGAGCCGAUGUCGGAUUAGCUAGUUGGCGGGGUAAAGGCCCACCAAGGCGACGAUCCGUAGCUGGUCUGAAAGGAUGAUCAGCCACACUGGAACUGAGACACGGUCCAGACUCCUACGGGAGGCAGCAGUGGGGAAUAUUGGACAAUGGGCGCAAGCCUGAUCCAGCCAUACCGCGUGGGUGAAGAAGGCCUUCGGGUUGUAAAGCCCUUUUGUUGGGAAAGAAAAGCAGCAGGUUAAUACCCCGCUGUUCUGACGGUACCCAAAGAAUAAGCACCGGCUAACUUCGUG